rfam:Loxodonta africana unplaced genomic scaffold scaffold_8, whole genome shotgun sequence.
UGAAGUAUUAUAACAGUGCUCGCUUUAGCAUUAUUGGAAUGAUACAGAGAAGAUUAGCAUGGCCCCUGUGCAAGGAUGACAUGCAAAUUCGUGAAGCGGUCCAUAUUUUU